rnacentral:misc_RNA from 1 species
GUCAAAGCAAUUCAAUUGUAAAGUUUUGGGGUCCAAGCACUGUAAGGGUGGGGCACUUUAUCUCUAUGUUUAAGAUUUUUACCCUUUGUCUCACUUGUGAGUAUAUGUCUUCCACAUGACUAGGAGUUGCUUGUGAACAUACUUCAGUUGUUGCAAUUGUUGGGAAGGGACAUUUGCAGGGAAUUAAGAAGCAUUGGAAGCAACCUAUUUUGUUUGGUGAACAAUUUCAUUUUGUUUGUUCUGUUUAUUUAUUUAAACAAUAGAUUCUUUGAAUUUUGUUGAUGAUCAGUUGACCAAGAAUUAUUUAUAGGAACUAUGGCUAAUGGAGAAUUUUCAUAUACACCGUCAUCUAGAGUUUUACCUAAUGAAACUCAAGAGACGCCACCAUUGAGUACCUUAAAUCAUGUUGAGGAGAAUAACAAUGCAUAAUCUAAUUUUGAUGUUGAUUUAGAUGAAAUGGUGAAUGCGGGUUUUCAUUAGGAGAUUCAUUCAAUCAAGUAGUAGGUGGAGAUGUGGCUUUGGAAAAUACAGAAAAUGGUAGUAGUCACUAUAAUAUGAUAAAACAAAAGAGGAAAGAAUUGUCUAAUGACCUUGCAACAAAG